UCCAGGCACAGAGACAGUGCUGGGAGUGGCAGAAAGAAGGGGACAGGUGGCUUGGUCAGUGGAGGAGCGUGGCUGGGCUCCUGGUUAGGGCUGACUCAAUAGGACUUGAAUGUCUGCCCCAGGACUUGGCCUUGUCCUGGUUCCUAGGGAGCCAUGGAGGGCUGUAGAGCAGGGGAGUGAUGCGGUCUGGACUGUGCCUCAUGAGGUAAAUACAGUCAUGGUGAAGAGGAAUUGCUGACAUGUGGACCCUCAAAACAGAGAGACCAGUGAGGGGCUCUUGCAGCUGCCCAGGGAGAGUGAUGAGGACAGGACCGAGGCCAUGGAGCAUGGUGUGUGGCAGGGCAUGGUGGGGUGGGGUGGGGCAGGAUGGACAGUGUGCAUGUUAGAGCAGGAAGUGGCUCGGCACGGUGGCGAUGUGACGUGGUGGCGGGGCAGGGGUGGGGCAGGGCAGGCAGUAGUGUGGCCUGGCCGUCAUGGCGUGGGGGGCAGUGUGUGGGUGGAGGGAAUGUUGUGGGAAUAGGGUGUGGUAGGGAAUGGCCUGGCGGGUGCUGUGUCUCAGCUUCUCUACUGAAACUCUGCAUGUCAGGGCAUGAGGGGCAGAGAGGAAGCAGAGGAGCCAGGGGUAGCUUGAGGGCAGGGAGAGGAGACCCCUGAGUGCACCCGAGGGGACUCUGCCCCACCUGAGGUGGGAAGUGCUCCCAGUAGUGGUGGCGGUGAUCCUAGCACUUCAGCAGAGACCCUGGAGAGAAGGUUAAAAUAGAGGACCUUGCUGACAAGUGGGCGCAAGAGUGCUCAGGGUCUGUGAGUGCACUGACCAUUUGGACAACAAAUACUGGCCUGGCGAUCCUGGUGGCCGACGACAAAUGCCAAGGCAGGGAAGGGAGCUGCGUGGGCUCAACGGAGGGGCACACUGAGGGCUGUGUGGAGCCCGAUGGGAGAGACGAAGAUGCCACAUCUGAGGAAGCACCAACACCCCUUCCCUCUGUGGAGGGAUGGCUGCCACCUGUCUCUCUCCCAACCCACAGCACCUUCCUACAGAAUCAAAGCCUCUUCUUAAAUUUACAAUCCCUGACAGGAGCGGAUGACCCAGUAAACAAGGUGAUGGAUGGCUGUGACCAGGCACUGCUGACCUCCGCCUCUAAUGAUGAACGACCGAGGGGUGAAUGUUCCAUUUCAGACAAUCACCUGCCACCCUGCAGCGUUGCCACGGGGCCUGCUGUGACGGCGUCGUGUUCCAUACUCUGUCCAUCUAUCAAGUGAGCGGAGGCCAGAGGGCCUCUCAUGCCAGCUGGACCCCCGAGGAGGGCCUGGGAGGACCCUGGGGAGGGGGGAAGUGGACUCACCCAGGGUAGAGGUGGGAGUUGAGCCUAACAGGCAGAAACCAGUGUCAGACUCCAGCUUCUGGUGGAGAACUUAGCUGCAAAAAGCAGGGGAUUGUUUCUAGUGUCCAGGGGCCACAGCCCCACCCCUGCUGGGCUAUGUCACAGGGUGGGUGUAUGUGGCUCCAGCAGCGUCUUCCCAUGGUGGACACCCAGCUCAGUGAGCACACUGCCUGGAAUUGCCCCACACAACUGGGUGGAAUCAUUCCUCUGUGCUGGGGCAGUUUUCCUUCCCAAAAUGGACCAACGCCGUUGCCAACCAGUCAUUUCUGACUCAGGUAGUCCCCAUGCACUAUAGAGUAGGGCUGCUCCAUAGGGUUGUCUUGGCUGUAGUCUUUAUGGCAGCAGAUCACCAGGCCUUUCUUUGGCUGCUGGGGGUUCUAACUGCCAGCCUUUUGGUUAAUAGAGAAGCACAAACCGUUUGUGCUGCUCAGAAGGGACGCUGUGCUUUAUCCCCCCUCCACCCACCCCACCCUGGUGGAGGUGCGGCAUUUAGGUGUGUUUCUAAGUGGGGGUGCUGGCAGAGAGCAGCGGGGGCACAGAAGGGCGCUCUGUGUGUUAGUGACCAUCCCAUGUAUCAUCGUUGGGAGCCAGCCCUCUGCCCUCUGCCCACACCCUUCCCUGCCCCGGGCCUUCCUUCCAGGGACCUUUUGGGGGGGAGGGGCCUGUGCUCUUGAUGGGGGCUGGUCAGCUCAGGUGGGGUUAGUCCCUGGGCCUGUCCAUGACUUCAAGCCCGUUAGUGCCAGGCCACUAAAUAUAGUGCUGCCAGUGACUCACCCUGCAGCUGGCUUCAGCUCCCCGAUAUCUGCUUUGAGGUGCCAACUGCCAGCCCUUAAAAAUAGCCUUAUUGUUUUCUUCUAAUUAUAAAACUAAUACACAAUAAUUGCAAAAAAAAAUUCAGAAUAUGCAGAAAGUACAAAGACAGACCAGCACCUGUCUGUAAGUUUGCCGUAUUGUGGUGGCUUGCGUGUUGCUGUGAUCCUGGAAGCCAUGUCACUUGUAUUUCAAAUAUCAGCAGGGUCACCCAUGGUGGACAGGUUUCAGUGGAGCUUCCAGACUAAGACUAGGAGGAAAGGCCUGGCAAUCCUUGAGAAAAUCAGCCAGUGGAAACCCCAUGAAUCACAGCAGAACAUUGUCUGGUAUAGUGCUGGAAGGCAUUCGAAUGCACAGUGGCUGCAACAACGGAUUUGAGCACGCCAACCAUCGUGAAGACGGCACAGGACCAGGCGAUGUUUCAUCCUGUCGCACAGGAGGCUUCCAUGAACCAGAGUCAACCUGAUGGCAACGAACGACAACAAUGAAGAAAGAAAUCCUGAUCCCCCACUGCCCUCCCCACCCAGUUUCUGUGCGUGUUUGUGUGUGUUGGCCACGGAUUCGGGUGGUUCUGCACUUACACGUUUGUAACUGCCAUUUCCCACACAUGGCUCUGUAGGCGGCUGUCUUAGCUCUCUAGUGAUAACAGACACACCGCAAGCAGGUGGCUUAAAAGCGCAGAAAAUGUACUUUCGCACAGUUUAGGAGUCUAGAAGUCUGAAUUCAGGGCGCCAACUCUAGGGAAAGGCUCUCUAUCUCUGUCAGCUCUGAGCGAAGGCCCUUGUCUCCUUUCAACACCUGUGGGCUUGGCACUCCUUGGAGCUCUCCCUCUGUCUUGGCAUUAAUCUUCCUACGGGUCUAGGAGGUGCUCAGCACAGGGACCCUGGAUCCAAAGGACACUCUCCGCUCCCAGCUAUUCUUUCCUGGAGUUGGUGAGGUCCCGCUUCUCUCUGCUCACUUCUCUCUCCUUUACCUUUUGUGAGAUAAAAGGUGUGACUCAAGCAAGGCUGUGACUUGAGAAAGGCUGUGACUUGAGUAAGGGUGUGACCUGAGUCACAAUCUCUUAUAAGUCUGUGACUCAAGACACACCCCACACUGAUCCUGCCUGUUAACAUGCAGAGGUUAGGAUUUAUAACACAUCACAAAACGGAGGGUAAUUACAUCAGAGCACAAAAUGGAGGACAACCGCACAACACUGGGAAUCAUCUAGCCAAGCCGAUCCGUACUUUUGGGGACACAAUUCAAUCCAUGACAGCAUCUUUCCACCUUCAUAAACGCAGCGCCAUGUGGUCACUUUCUCGGCUGCACCCAGUCACCGCUAACUCCAAUUUCCAAAUCGGGCUUGCUGUGAACACUGCUUCUGCCACUGGGUGGCUGGCCUUGGACACUCCAUGACCUUGGCCAAGGCAGGGACCCUCUGAGCUUCUGUUUCCUGAUGGGAAAAAUGGGCUUAUUGGCACUGCCUCAUAGCACUGCCCAGAGACGUCAGGGAGGGAAAGCUCUCCCUCCUCGGGGUUCGGCUCAGACCUCCUGCUGAGCCAGUACCCACUGCGACCCCCCACCCUGCGCUGGUCCCUUGCUACUGUGAGUCCCCUGUGGACAUGUUGAUCAAUGCCACCAACCCUGCCCUGGAAAACAUGCAAGUUGUUUUCAAUUUUCCUCUUACAAAAACACAGUGACGUCCCCAGGUGGUGUAAAUGGUGAACGUUCUCAGCUAGUAAUUAAAAGGUUGGCAGCUCCAGUCCACGUAGAGGUGCCUUGGAAGAAAGGCCUGGUAAUCUACUUCUGAAAAACCAGCCACUGAAAACUCUCUGGAGCACAGUUCUACUCGGACACACGUGGGGUCGCCACGAGUCGGAACCGACUCCACAGCGACUGACAAACGGCACAGCAGUGAGCGUCCUUGCUGUGGGGGCUUGCCGAGCCUUUGCCCAUUUGCCUGAUUUGUCACUAAAUGAGUCUCUGAAAUAGGAACUGCUGGGUCCCUGGGCCCCUCCUUGGAAGAGUUCGGAUAUGUUUAGGAAACAGAACCAAGGCUAUCUGAUGUAGCUCUUAGGCAGCGUAACCCAGUGCCAGAGUCUGUCAACAUGGUACGCAGCCCAGGUGGAAGAGGCUGGUCAGAAGGCACGUGGGCAAUCGGAAGCCUGCCCCCCGCUGGACCACGCUGCCUUUUGUACUCAGCAAGGCCAGCAGAAACAGCAAUGGCUGCUGUGAUCAUCGGUGACGAUUCCCGGAAACCUGUGUCCUAAACCCCCACAGUUGCAAAAAGAUCAACAGCUGCAGCCCUAGCCCGUUGCCCAGCCGCGGACAUGGGGCUCCGGGUGGUGGGUUCUCAGCAGAGGAUGAGAAGGUAUGGGGCCAGGCUGGGGUCGGGCGGCUUGCGGUGGACACCUGAGCCCCUCGCGGGCCCUCUCCUCACCUUCCCCCACCGUCUUCCCUCUCCAGGGCCAUAGCAGGGCCAGCUCUUGCCUGAGCAUGAGAGACGGAGUGGCCCAAUUCCGAAAACACAGCAGUGAUCACAAGGUCCUUGCCCCUGAGGGAGUUCGCUUACUGUGCUUUUUGUACCCGCUGCUUAAUUAAGAUUAAAGAAAAAUUCUCGGCUGCAGCCUUGACAAAUCACAGCGUCCUUUGAAUUUGCCGGGCCCCCAACUCCAUCAGGCUGUUCCCCAUAAUAGAGCCAUUAACUUCUUACGACCUGGCUCUUAGGCCUGCCCGGAGCGGGGAGGAGGCCUGCAAGGUAGUGCGAUGCUCUCUGUCUUGAGUGAAGCCCCAUGCGCCACCCCAGUGUCCGGGGUGCUGGGCCUCCUGACCUCCCUUUUCCCCUGUCCCCCCAGCCUUCAGUGCAAGCUCUCUGGGUUCAGGUCCCACCAGCCUUGCGUGACUGCAGAGUCUCAGAGCAGGGCCCUGGCCCGCUCAGCUCCAGGUCCAUUGUGGGCCUGGAACAGGGUCUAAUGGAAUUAAGGGCAGCCAGCGGUUGAACUGGACCCACAGUCAACGCCCACGGAAGCAGCAGUCAAGAAAUCAAACGCUGCACUGCAUUGGGCAAAUCUGCUGCAAAAGACCUCUCUCAAACGUUAGAAAGCAAGGAUGUCUCUUUGAGGACUAAGGUGCACCUGACCUAAGCCGUGGUAUUUUCAGUCACCUCAUAUGCAUUGGGAAGCUGGACAAUGAAUAAGAAAGUACGAAGAAGAACUGAUGUAUUUGAAUUAGGGCGUUGGUGAGGAAUAUUGAAUAUACCAUGGACUGCCGAAAGAAGGAACAAAUCAGUGUUGGAGGAAGUACAACCAGAAUGCUCCUCAGAGGUGAGGAAGGCGAGACUUUGUCUCACACACUUUGUACGUGUUGUCAGGAGGGACCAGUCCCUGGAGAAGGUCAUCAUGCUUGGUGAAGUAGAGGGUCAGUGAAAAAGAGGAAGACCCUCAGUGAGAUGGGUUGACACAGAGGCUGCAACAAUGGGCUGAAACAGCAAUGACUGUGAGGAGGGGGCAGGACAGGGCAGCGUCUGGUUCUGUGUGGAUAGGGUGACUCCACGGCACCUGACAACAAUGACAGCUGUUGGCUGGGGCCGUGGUUGUUCAGUGGUGGAAUUCUUGCCUUCCACACGGGAGACUCGAGUUCGGUUCCCGGCCAGUGCACCUCUUACAAAGCCACCACCCGUCUGCCAGUAGAGGCUUGUGUGGUGCUACAAUCUUGAACAGGUUUCAGCAGAGCUUCUAGACUGAGCCAGACUGGGAGGAAAGGUCAGGUGAUCUACUGCCAAAGUCGGCCAGUGAAAACCUUAUGGACCUCAGCAGUCUGGUCUCUAAGUGACCUUGGGGAUGGCGCAGGACCAGACGUUUGUUCCAUUGUGCGUGGGGUCUCCAUGCGUUGGGGGCCAGCUAGAUGGCAACUAACAACGACAACAACUGACCAGCAGCUUCCAGCUUCCGGUCAGCCCACAGCAACGGCGCUGGCGCCUGUGCGAGCGUUGUCUCUGGCCCACGGCCGGUGGGGGCCGUGGGGACCAUGUGUCUGCGUCUUCCCCACUGUCCCCCGCCCAGCGCACUGUGGCACUUCAGGAGCCUUGAGGAAGGAGUUUGUGCUUGGCUGGGAUCUGAAAUGUGUCUGUGACCCACCCGGCACCUUUUGGCUACACGUGGGAGGGUCUCUGGGACGCCUACAGCUGGGCUGGGACCUCAGGGGAGGUGGGCCCUGCUCAGCCCAAUGACUUGGUGCGAAGCCUGCCACAACCAGGAACUGAACCUGGUCGACUUUCCACAGUCCUUGACUGCAUACAGCGGACUAGCCCUGCCUGCAUCCCCGAUGCACGCAGAUCUUCCACACACACCCUGUCCACUGCUAUCCCAUUCCCAAACCCUGUCCGCUGCUGUCUUGUCCCCCCACCCUGUCCCCACGCCCUGCCCCCAUGCUCCUCCUCCACACCCUGUCUACUGCUGCCCUGUCCCCACACCCUGUCCCCAAGCCCUGUCCCCAUGCCCUGUUUACUGCUGUCCCGUCCCCACAUCUUGUCCCCACACCCUGUCUUUUGCUGCCCUGUCCCCAUGCCCUGCCCCUACACCCUGCCUACUGCUGCCCUGCCCUCAUGCCCCGUCCUGUGGCCUAUCAGGGUCCUUUGAGCCCCACGUCCCUCACCUGUAACUUCUGUGAUAUCCUUCUUUCAAACCCCAGAGACCUCACCUGACCCUCCAGCAUGGGGGCUGCCCUACCUCCAGACUCAGCAUUCAGCGCUGACUGACAGGAAGCCUUGCUCCUUGGAGAGAACUUCCUUCUGGAGUGACUCUCAAACUGGUCUGAUGCAGAGAGCACAUCCAAGCUGCCCUCCGGAACCUCCUCUCCCAGGCAGAGCCUAAGGACACAGCUCUCCCAUCAUCCGCCUCCAAGUGUUGUUUGAGGAUUUGACCACAGGGCAGUGGUCCCACCUUCAGGGGCCUGGGCUGCAGCCAUUCCCACAAUAGUUAGUGAUUCUGGGGAGAUGGGCCGCCGAGGCUCCGGCUGUGAUAGGUGCCCAGAGCGAGAUCCUCACCUGCAGCCAGCUUCUCUCAUCCCAUCUGCCCCUCCAUCGUCACCCUCGGUGACAGAGCCAGAUGGCCCGACUGGGGCCUUGUAAGGUUGCAUGGUAUCCCCCCAUGGAGCAGGAACACAAAUGGCAGGGACAGGGGAGAUCGUCUAAGUCCCGCACCCAGAGAGCUUGGCUCGCCUGGGGAAGGGUGACCUUCUCCCCCCUUGCCAUCUUGCCUUCCAUGUAAUGGAAUGGAGACCAUUCUGCUGAGAAAUUACACACACCCUAGCCGCUCAUCUGGUUACCCGCAGCACUCACAGCAGCCAGCGUCGGUCGAGGCUGCCCAGGGCCAGGCGCAUGGUGGGUCUUGACACACAUCUUCUCCGUUAACCCCUGCAGCACCUGGGGAUGAUGCCCCUCUUAACAACAGGGAACAGAGCUGAUAGAUGGUGCCCACAGUCACCGGUGAGCAAGUAGGGGAGUGAGAUUCCAGCAGGUCCAGUGCCAAGUCCAGGCUCCGAGUUGCCAGGCUGUGCUUGGCCCUCAGUAGGCUGGGAGUUUCCCAGCCUAAUCAGAAUUACCAAAAAAUCUCAAAAGCCUGGGCUGCCAGCCACCUUGUUGCGCCACCUGUAAGCGUGUGGACGGGACUGAUGGGGCGGCCCGCCCCAGUCAUGAACCAGUUCCCAUUAACUCCACUGUUGCUUGAGUGGUCCCUUGAUCCUGAACCUUCCCUGCGCUGUCCCCCGGGCGGCAAGGAGAGACGGCACCUGUCCUAGUUAUCUGGGCUGCAGUAACACAAAUGCCACACAUGGUGGCUUUAAAGAACAGAAAUGUACUUUCUCACAUUUCUGGAGGCUAAAAAACCUACCCAUUCCUUCCCUGUCGGAGGCCUGAGCAUUCCUUUGCUUGUGGACGAUUCUCACAGGGCGUCCGCCUUCCCCCGUGUGUGCCUCUGCAUUUAGUCUGCUCUUUUUAAGACUCA